rnacentral:rRNA from 1 species
GAUGAACGCUAGCUACAGGCUUAACACAUGCAAGUCGAGGGGUAACGAGAGGGAAGCUUGCUUUCCUUGUCGACGACCGGCGCACGGGUGAGUAACGCGUAUCCAACCUGCCCCCAACUAGGGAAUAACCUUGCGAAAGUAAGACUAAUACCCUAUAAUUUCCUCAGAUGUCAUCUGACGAGGAAUAAAGAUUUAUCGGUUGUGGAUGGGGAUGCGUCUGAUUAGCUUGUCGGCGGGGUAACGGCCCACCAAGGCAACGAUCAGUAGGGGUUCUGAGAGGAAGGUCCCCCACAUUGGAACUGAGACACGGUCCAAACUCCUACGGGAGGCAGCAGUGAGGAAUAUUGGUCAAUGGGCGGAAGCCUGAACCAGCCAAGUAGCGUGCAGGAUGACGGCCCUAUGGGUUGUAAACUGCUUUUAUACAGGAAUAAAGUUAGCCACGUGUGGUUAUUUGUAGGUACUGUAUGAAUAAGGACCGGCUAAUUCCGUGCCAGCAGCCCGCCGUAA